GACGAACGCUGGCGGCAUGCCUAACACAUGCAAGUCGAACGAAACCUUCGGGUCUAGUGGCGCUCGGCGGCGUAGCGCGUGGGAAGAUUCACUUGGGGUCGGAAUAACUCCCCGAAAGGGGUGCUAAUACCGGAUAGGGUCUUCGGACCGAAGACUUAUCGCGUUUGGAUGGGCCCGCGUUGGAUUCGCUAGUUGGUAGGGUAAAAGCCGACCAAGGCGACGAUCCGUAGCUUGUCUGAGAGGAUGAUCCGCCACACUGGGACUGGGACGCGGCCCAGACUCCUACGGGAAGCAGCAGUGGGGAAUAUUGGACCAUGGGCGAAAGCCUGAUCCAGCUAUGCCGCGUGAGUGAUGAAGGCCUUAGGGUUGUAAAGCGCUUUUACCCGGGAUGAUAAUGACAGUACCGGGAGAAUAAGCUCCGGCUAACUCCGUG
rnacentral:rRNA from 1 species